UCGCGUUUAAAGCGCAACAGACGCGUGUGAACCCCGUCAGGUCCGGAAGGAAGCAGCGGUAAGCAACGGCAGACUGUGUCGCAGUACAAAGGCGGUCUAU
rnacentral:SRP_RNA from 1 species